UAACAUCCACAGGCUGGCUGGCCCCGGCUGGCCUGGGUGAAUCUCUUCAAAGGCUCACCCUCAAGCAGGACUAGGAGC
rnacentral:pre_miRNA from 1 species